rnacentral:rRNA from 1 species
UAUUGCACAAUGGGGGAAACCCUGAUGCAGCGACGCCGCGUGAGGGAAGACGGCCUUCGGGUUGUAAACCUCUGUCGCAGGGGACGAAGGAAGUGACGGUACCCUGGGAGGAAGCCACGGCUAACUACGGGCCAGCAGCCGCGGUAAUACGUAGGUGGCGAGCGUUGUCCGGAAUUACUGGGUGUAAAGGGAGCGUAGGCGGGAGUGCAAGUUGAAUGUAUAAACUAUCGGCUCAACUGAUAGAAGCGUUCAAAACUGCACUUCUUGAGUGAAGUAGAGGCAGGCGGAAUUCCUAGUGUAGCGGUGAAAUGCGUAGAUAUUAGGAGGAACACCAGUGGCGAAGGCGGCCUGCUGGGCUUUAACUGACGCUGAGGCUCGAAAGCGUGGGUAGCAAACAGG